UACGUAGGUGGCGAGCGUUGUCCGGAUUUAUUGGGUUUAAAGGGUGCGUAGGCGGCCCUGUAAGUCAGCGGUGAAAUACUCCAGCUCAACUGGAGGGGUGCCGUUGAUACUGCAGGGCUUGAGUGCAGUCGAGGCAGGCGGAAUUGACGGUGUAGCGGUGAAAUGCUUAGAUAUCGUCAAGAACACCGAUAGUGAAGACAGCUUGCUAGUCUGCAACUGACGCUGAGGCACGAAAGUGUGGGGAUCAAACAGG
rnacentral:rRNA from 1 species